rnacentral:rRNA from 1 species
UACGUAGGGGGCUAGCGUUGUCCGGAAUCAUUGGGCGUAAAGCGCGUGUAGGCGGUUCGGUAAGUCUGCCGUGAAAACCCAGGGCUCAACCCUGGGCGUGCGGUGGAUACUGCCGGGCUAGAGGGUGGUAGAGGCGAGAGGAAUUCCCGGUGUAGCGGUGAAAUGCGCAGAUAUCGGGAGGAACACCAACGGCGAAGGCAGCACUCUGGGCUGGAACUGACGCUGAGGAGCGAAAGCGUGGGUAGCAAACAGG